CUCAUAACAAAAUUAGCAAUUUUUUAAUUAAUAAUAAAGCCAAACAUAGAAAAGAGGAAUUAAGUGGUGUUUAUAAAAUCGAAUGUCCGGAAUGCAAUAAAAUAUAUAUCGGCCAAACGGGAAGAAAUAUAUACACUCGGUUCAAAGAACAUUUGUCCAGUUCAAGAUCAGCCGUUCAUAAACACAUACAAGAACAAAAACACAGAAUACAAUUUCAAAAUGUCAAACUGAUUAUAAAUCUAAAGAAGUCAAACGAAUUGAACCUUUAUGAGGAAUAUAAUAUAGGUCUACACAAAAAAGAGAAUAUACUUAUGAACGACAUUGCUGACUUCGAUACUAACAGAUGUUUCCACGAUUUUCUUUAGAUACACUUUAUAUACUUUGUUAUAUGCAUUUUGUUAUGCAUACCAUUUCCAUUUGAAUUUCUUGUUGCUGCCUGUCCUGUUUUCUCUUCCCACAAACGCGCAUGCGAUUGUAAAUCUCGUCAAAACCAGAAAAUUCCAUCUACAAUCAGUCCUUUCUUGUCAAUCAUACACCUACCCUGCCAUCAAUUUCCAUACGAUUAAACUAAAGAAUUUUUAAUUUUAACUCCGUCUAAUGCGUAUUUUUUAAAAUAUAGUUUUAGUGAUAAUUUUAUUUAGUUUGACGCUAAUUUUAACCGUACAAUUUUUACUGUCAAAUAUUUCAACCUGAUGAUUUGUUCUUCAAUCAACAACUCUUGACGUCGUGCCAGAUGAAGAUCGCAUAGUUCGAUCGAAACACGUGUAGCACCGAAAAUAAAAAUUAAAUAUUUUUUCAUCGUC
rnacentral:lncRNA from 1 species